rnacentral:rRNA from 1 species
GAUGAACGCUGGCGGCGUGCCUAAUACAUGCAAGUCGAGCGAACAGACGAGGAGCUUGCUCCUCUGACGUUAGCGGCGGACGGGUGAGUAACACGUGGAUAACCUACCUAUAAGACUGGGAUAACUUCGGGAAACCGGAGCUAAUACCGGAUAAUAUAUUGAACCGCAUGGUUCAAUAGUGAAAGACGGUUUUGCUGUCACUUAUAGAUGGAUCCGCGCCGCAUUAGCUAGUUGGUAAGGUAACGGCUUACCAAGGCAACGAUGCGUAGCCGACCUGAGAGGGUGGUCGGCCACACUGGAACUGAGACACGGUCCAGACUCCUACGGGAGGCAGCAGUAGGGAAUCUUACGCAAUGGGCGAAAGCCUGACGGAGCAACGCCGCGUGAGUGAUGAAGGUCUUCGGAGCGUAAAACUCUGUUAUUAGGGAAGAACAAAUGUGUAAGUAACUAUGCACGUCUUGACGGUACCUAAUCAGAAAGCCACGGCUAACUACGUG